GGUCUGCGGAGGACAUUACAAGAUGACCCCGGUCUUACCACCGGGAUGUUCAUAACCCUUUGUUGUCCGACUCUGUUGCCUCCGGGGCGACCCUGCCUUCGGGCGGGGGCUCCGGGUGGACACUUCAAACUCUUGCGUAACUUUGCAGUCUGAGUAAACUUAAUUAAUAAAUUAAAACUUUUAACAACGGAUCUCUUGGUUCUGGCAUCGAUGAAGAACGCAGCGAAAUGCGAUAAGUAAUGUGAAUUGCAGAAUUCAGUGAAUCAUCGAAUCUUUGAACGCACAUUGCGCCCCCUGGUAUUCCGGGGGGCAUGCCUGUUCGAGCGUCAUUUCACCACUCAAGCCUCGCUUGGUAUUGGGCAACGCGGUCCGCCGCGUGCCUCAAAUCGACCGGCUGGGUCUUCUGUCCCCUAAGCGUUGUGGAAACUAUUCGCUAAAGGGUGUUCGGGAGGCUACGCCGUAAAACAACCCCAUUUCUAAGGUUGACCUCGGAUCAGGUAGGGAUACCCGCUGAACUUAAGCAUAUCAAAAGGCGGAGGAAACACAAUAAAUUA
rnacentral:rRNA from 1 species